rnacentral:tRNA from 1 species
GGGGCUGUGGCUCAGUGGUAGAGCACUUGCCUAGCAUGCAUGAGGCCCGGGGUUCAACCCCUAGUACCA